CUGAUCUUCUCGUGAAGAAGCGAGAAUAAUAAUAUAAGACGAGAAGACCCCAUGGAGCUUUAAACUCAUAAUCAUUUACUUAAACUUAAAUCACAGAAAACAGUAAAAUUGUCCUAUUAUAGUUUUAGGCUGGGGUGACCCUGGAGUAAAAUAAAUCCUCCAGAGUGAACGGAAUCUAAUAAUAGAGCUACAGCUCAAAUAAUCAAAAAACUGACACUACUGAUCCAACUUAUUGAUCAACGAAACAAGUUACCCUGGGGAUAACAGCGCAAUCCAUUUCAAGAGCCCCUAUCGACAAAUGGGUUUACGACCUCGAUGUUGGAUCGGGAUGUCCAGGUGGCGCAGCCGCUACCAACGGUUCGUUUGUUCAACGAUUAACAAUCCCACGUGAUCU
rnacentral:rRNA from 1 species